ensembl:lncRNA
UUUAUCUGUUUCUAGCUGUUUUCGCAAAGUCAGCCAACCACUUGCUUCCAAAUGACCCUUAUCCAGAAGUAUCCGUGAGUGCCUCAUCAACAGAAACUAAAGUGGAGACCUACCUCUCAGAGGAAAAACUCACACAUAAGAAAAGCCGACCCACGUCAGUACUGGGAAGAACAUCCUAAUCUGUUUCCCUCUAUGGCUGCUGUUGCGAUCCCAGUGUGCCCCCUGUAGCUCUGUGGACAGUUUUGGAUUUGUUUACAUCUCACCCAACCGCUCACGGCAGAUGGCUGCACCUCUCUAAGCCUGGUUCUGCCGGAGGUUUCUUCCUGUUAAAAGGGAGUUUUUCUGAACACACUCUACCACCAACAAGGACAGCUCACCAGUGGGAACUGAUAGAUAAGACUGCUGAUGUGCUCUCAUCCAUUGAAGAGCUGACCAGAAACGUGAACAGAAAGACUGCACCUGAUGGGAUCCCUGCCAUAACAGUCAUCCAUCCAUUCAUAACUCCUCAGAUGUGUUCUGUCCAGUGAAGGCAGUGGAGAAGCCCUACACUGAUCUUGAAACUGUGCCACACUACUAGAAACCGGCUACAAGGAUGGGCAGGUAUAGUGAAAUUAAAAUGCACCUUUUGUUCAACAGGUUUAUAUACAGUCAAGUGAUCAAAAGACACCAGUAUUAAACCCAUUUAAGCCAACUACAUGCUUGGAUUGGAACUCUAUACAGGCCACCAAAUUACAGCCACGUGUGGUUUUUACCUCGCAUGGCAACUUACCUCAUCGGAAGACACCAGUAUUAAGCCAAUUUCUUUUUUUACUACCUUUUUAAUUUAGUUUUGGGUCAUUUAGUUCUAAAGUUAGAUUUGUUUUUCCAAUUAUUUUUUUAGAACUUCAUUACUUGCCAGUUUGCUAACUGAAGAGCUGCGCUUUGUGAUGUCUCUUGUUUUAUUGUUUUAAAUUGUGUUUUCCUUUUAUCUGUUUCUAGCUGUUUUCGCAAAGUCAGCCAACCUCUUGCUUCCAAAUGACCCUUAUCCAGAAGUAUCCGUGAGUGCCUCAUCAACAGAAACUAAAGUGGAGACCUACCUCUCAGAGAAAAACGCACACAUAAGAAAAGCCGACCCACUUCAGUACUGGGAAGAACAUCCUAAUCUGUUUCCCUCUAUGGCUGCUGUUGCGAUCCCAGUGUGCCCCCUGUAGCUCUGUGGACAGUUUUGGAUUUGUUUACAUCUCACCCCAACCGUUCGCGGCAGAUGGCCGCCCCUCCCUGAGCCUGGUUCUGCCGGAGGUUUCUUCCUGUCAAAAGGGAGUUUUUCCUUCCCACUGUCGCCAAAGUGCUUGCUCAUAGGGGGUCAUAUGAUUGUUGGGUUUAUCUAUAUACAUUAAUGCUUGUAUGCUUUUCAUUUAUACUUUUGCCUUACUCUUCAGUUUAUAAUAUAAAGUUACUUGAAUGUUUUCCUUUUCCUUUUUUAUUUUAUAUUGCUUUGCUAUUUACCACAAUCUAAAUAUCAUGUUUAAAUGUCAUACAUUAUUGUAAAUGGUAUUUGUACAAAAUAUUGUUUGAAUAACAUGAUACAUUUUAGUCCCACAAGGGGAAAUUUCAUAAUUUGCAUGUGGAAUUUCCCCUUUCACAUUAAAAUACCUUUGAAAUACAAAUUGAAUACCGCUUAAUGGACAUUUAUUUCUACCACUUUAAACGACUCAAAACUGUAAAAUCUAAAUUGUAACUUCUCUUGAACACCUGACACUAAAGCAUAAUUUAUUUUAUUUAUUUUAUAUCUAUUAACUUCUUUUGUAAUCAUGUAACUGGAGCAUCCUUCUCUCAUCUCUGUAUGCUGCAUAUAACAGAGAUCACAAUACAGCUUACUUUGCUUUAAAUUGAAAAUCAGCUGUAUUCCAUUUCCCUCCUCCUUGUGGUAUAAAUAGCAAACUAUGCUCAUGUUGCAUAUUGCUCCCUCUAGUGUUAUAAAUGGCAACCGGCGCUAAUUGAACCACAUUAAAGGCAAACUACACUCAUUGGCAGUAGCAUAGGCACACUUAAAAUUUCUUCUGAAAUUUUCCCUUUCUAGUUAUUUUAUUAGUAUUUUCCUUACAUGUGUCAAAUAUAUAUUUUCUCAUCUAAAUGUGAACUGAGCUGUGAGCCAAGGGACGGUAGUGCGCCUUAACAUUGGUUGCCAACCAAGAAGAAGAAGAAGUAGCUGCGAGCCGGGGGGGGGGGGGGGGGGGGGGGGGGGGCGUGAGUGAGUGAGUGAUUCGUUCGCUCUAUGAUUCAGCACAGGAGGGAGGGGGUGAGUGAGUCCUGAGUGAUUUGCUUACGCUACGAUUCAGCACAGGAGGGAGGGGGUUAGUGAGUCCUGAGUGAUUUGCUUCCCCUACGAUUCAGCGCAGGAAGGGAGGGGGUGAGUAGCUCAAAUGUGCUGUUAGCAUGUUAGCAGAGCGAUGCUACUGUGAACCGAGGAGCUAUUGUCUUGAUGUGAGCUUCUACUCAGGGUUUUUUCUUCCAGUUCAGAGCAGAAAUGUUUUUGUUAAGAUACUGGAUGUUGUGUUUUUCUUCACAAUUUGAAUUAUAAGCUAGAUAUAUUUCUACUAAUGAAAUUAGUUUGCUAACAGCAACAGGGAUGAGUCAGUGAGUCAGUUGCGCUUGUGAAUCAUGAUUCACGAGUCAGUAAAGUGAUUCUCGAGUAUUGAACGAUUCGUUCAUGAUUCGCGCAUCACUACUGGCCACCACCUUUUGUCUGGCAACUCACAGGGAUCAUGGCAGGUAAGGCAGGUUUUCCUAUAGUCCGACAGAGGACCCAUGUGUUUGAAGUCAUCCCCGAACUGCUGCUAUGUGAGCGCUUGUUCUGCGCUCAUAGACGGGACUGACAGUGCGCAGCAAUGCGUCUAAUGAUGUUUAAAAGAUCCCAUAGCGCAAGUGCGUCAUUUCAGAUGAACUGCAAAAGAAAUUUCCCUCGUACCGGCCCAGUACUGGUAAUUUUUCUUAUGCAGAUGAGGC